rnacentral:tRNA from 1 species
AUUUAAAUAGCUUAUAUAGAGUAUAAUAUUGAAGAUAUUAAGGAGAUUGAAUAUAAUCUUUAAAUA